rnacentral:rRNA from 1 species
AGUGAACGCUGGCGGUAGGCCUAACACAUGCAAGUCGAACGGCAGCACAGUAAGAGCUUGCUCUUACGGGUGGCGAGUGGCGGACGGGUGAGGAAUACAUCGGAAUCUACUUUUUCGUGGGGGAUAACGUAGGGAAACUUACGCUAAUACCGCAUACGACCUACGGGUGAAAGCAGGGGAUCUUCGGACCUUGCGCGAUUGAAUGAGCCGAUGUCGGAUUAGCUAGUUGGCGGGGUAAAGGCCCACCAAGGCGACGAUCCGUAGCUGGUCUGAGAGGAUGAUCAGCCACACUGGAACUGAGACACGGUCCAGACUCCUACGGGAGGCAGCAGUGGGGACUAUUGGACACUGGGCGCAAGCCUGAUCCAGCCAUACCGCGUGGGUGAAGAAGGCCUUCGGGUUGUAAAGCCCUUUUGUUGGGAAAGAAAAGCAGCAGGUUAAUACCCCGCUGUUCUGACGGUACCCAAAGAAUAAGCACCGGCUAACUUCGUG